UCCAGGGCUAGAUCGUUCAUUCUCACCUUUCCUUCCUCCGUGGUUCAUUCUCCUCCGGUCUGAUCGUUUUUUUUUUUUUUCUCACGAUCUGCGCGCGUUUUCUGAAGUGUAACUUGGUGCGACCAGCAAACGUACGCGUGAUAAGUAAAAUCAGCAUCGCCUUGGACAAAUUCUGCUACCACUUGAGUUUUAUCGCCGUGGAUUUGACAUGCUGAAACGUCACGCAGAGUGGAUCUUCGCAGCACACUCAGCCGAAGGAGGGCUCCAUUGUUUUAAGAGACAGUGAUAAUGAUGGCCCACAGGUAAUCUACAUAAGCAGUAGUGACAGUGACGAUGAGUUCGUUUUUCACCCUGACGGAAGUUUCGAACUAAGAGAAAUACCUGCCAAAAAAAAUAAACUUGAAAAGCAAGAGCCCACUGGCCAAGAAGAAACAGCGGGAACAAGCACAUCGCCCGAAGCACAGCUGCCCUCUGUGGAUCCACGGCGUGCAAGACAGUUGGUUGCACCAAUCAUCUGCAGCAACCAUGGUGUCUUCUAUAAUGCUGUGCUCAACCAGACUUGUCUCGAAAAGAAUCGGAACAAAUUUUACUACAUGCAGCUUGUGAGGGAUCUGUGCAAUGACAACCACUACGUGUGGUUUAGCUGGGGCCGUGUUGGAGAAAGUGGAUCAAUAAUUUUGAUCCCCUAUCAGAAAGACAUCUUGAAAGUGCAGUUACUGUUUGAAAGAAGCUUCUACUCGAAGACCGGCAAUUGGUGGGAGGUAUGGGCGAAAGACAGGAAAUUUGAAAAGAGGAAGGGGAAGUACGACAUGCUCAAAAUGGACUACUCUGGUUCUAAAACCCAAGAAGAGAAUAUUCAGCAGCUGUAUGAGGACAUUGCCAAUAAUUUUGCAUCAAGCAGGCUCAAACCCAAUUUACUGAAACUCAUGUCUCUGAUAUUUGAUCUCGAAGAAAAUGAAAGAAACUGUUGUUGAUAUGAAGUUUGAUUUGGUAAAAUUACCCUUGCGAAUGCUCACAAAGGAACAGAUCCUCACAGGUUAUAAGGCACUUCAUAAGAUUGAAGAUUGCAUUAAGAGGGAAAGCGACAAAAGUGAACUUGUAGAGGCCUGUAGUGAGUUUUACACCUGCAUUCCUAAUUUAUUUUCGCGAAGGGAAAGGCCCACUUUGAUUUGUACUGAUCUACUUGUACAACAGAAGAUGGAGCUGCUUGAGAAACUCAUGUCUCUGAUAUUUGAUCUCGAAGAAAAUGAGAGAAACUGUUGUUGAUAUGAAGUUUGAUUUGGUAAAAUUACCCUUGCGAAUGCUCACAAAGGAACAGAUCCUCACAGGUUAUAAGGCACUUCAUAAGAUUGAAGAUUGCAUUAAGAGGGAAAGUGACAAAAGUGAACUUGUAGAGGCCUGUAGUGAGUUUUACACCUGCAUUCCUAAUUUAUUUUCGCGAAGGGAAAGGCCCACUUUGAUUUGUACUGAUCUACUUGUACAACAGAAGAUGGAGCUGCUUGAGAUGUGUGUGCCGAGGUGGAGCAGUGGCUAAGGAACUCAACUCCAAACCUGAAGGUCGCGGGUUCGAUCCUGGCCGCGCCGGAUGCAUUUUUAUGUCGGCGAAAUGGUAGAAGCCAAUGCGCUGUGCGAUGUUCAGGCACGUUAAAUAACACCAGAUGGUCAAAAUUUCUGGAGCCCUCCACAACGGCAUCUCUCAUAAUCAUGUCAUGGUUUUGAAAGAUAAAGCCCCAGAUAUUAUUGGUUAUUAGUUUCAAAUGUGCCAACAUGUAUGAUGAGUACCAGUGUGAAUGCUGACAUCCAAAAUCUUCACUGAUAAUCAUGCAGAGCUGUCUAUGCUGUUUCUGUGGUAAUAAUAAAUAAUAAAUAUUAGAAUACAAGGUGUUACAUUGC